UACGUAGGGGGCAAGCGUUGUCCGGAAUCAUUGGGCGUAAAGCGCGUGUAGGCGGCUGACUAAGUCCGCUCUGAAAGCCCGGGGCUCAACCCCCGGGAGGCGGGUGGAUACUGGUCAGCUCGAGUCCGGAAGAGGAGUGUGGAAUUCCUGGUGUAGCGGUGAAAUGCGCAGAUAUCAGGAGGAACACCAAUGGCGAAGGCAGCACUCUGGGACGGUACUGACGCUGAGACGCGAAAGCGUGGGGAGCAAACAGG
rnacentral:rRNA from 1 species